rnacentral:rRNA from 1 species
GUGGGGAAUUUUGGACAAUGGGGGCAACCCUGAUCCAGCAAUGCCGCGUGCAGGAAGAAGGCCUUCGGGUUGUAAACUGCUUUUGUACGGAACGAAACGGUCUGGGUUAAUACCCUGGGCUAAUGACGGUACCGUAAGAAUAAGCACCGGCUAACUACGUGCCAGCAGCCGCGGUAAUACGUAGGGUGCGAGCGUUAAUCGGAAUUACUGGGCGUAAAGCGUGCGCAGGCGGUUUUGUAAGACAGGCGUGAAAUCCCCGGGCUCAACCUGGGAAUUGCGCUUGUGACUGCAGCGCUGGAGUGCGGCAGAGGGGGAUGGAAUUCCGCGUGUAGCAGUGAAAUGCGUAGAUAUGCGGAGGAACACCGAUGGCGAAGGCAAUCCCCUGGGCCUGCACUGACGCUCAUGCACGAAAGCGUGGGGAGCAAACAGGAUUAGAAACCCUGGUAGUCC